rnacentral:tRNA from 1 species
GCGCCCGUAGCUCAAAGGAUAGAGCGCUUGGCUUCGGACCAAGAGGUUUGGGGGUUCGAGUCCCUCCGGGCGCA